rnacentral:misc_RNA from 1 species
GAUGAAGAACGCAGCGAAAUGCGAUAAGUAGUGUGAAUUGCAGAAUUCAGUGAAUCAUCGAAUCUUUGAACGCACAUUGCGCCCUUUGGCAUUCCGAAGGGCAUGCCUGUUCGAGCGUCAUUAUCACCCCUCAAGCCCCCCUGGCUUGGUGUUGGACGGUUUUGGUGGGACGUGCAGCCUCUCACCCCUCCUAAAGACAAUGACGGCGGCGUCGUUGGAACCCCCCGGUACACUGAGCUUCUUAACUGAGCACGUACUGGAUGCGGGUACGCGAUGCACGGUCUGCCUCCCCUUUAGGGAGAACUUUUUCUUAAGGUUGACCUCGGAUCAGGUAGGAAUACCCGCUGAACUUAAGCAUAUCAAUAAGCGGAGGA